rnacentral:rRNA from 1 species
CCCGCGAGCAUGUCUGUUUGAGUGUC